rnacentral:rRNA from 1 species
AACACGGGAGCGGCAGACGGGUGAGUAACACGUGGGAACGUGCCCUUCAGUUCGGAACAACCCAGGGAAACUUGGGCUAAUACCGGAUACGUCCGUAAGGAGAAAGAUUUAUCGCUGAAGGAUCGGCCCGCGUCUGAUUAGCUAGUUGGUGGGGUAAUGGCUCACCAAGGCGACGAUCAGUAGCUGGUCUGAGAGGAUGAUCAGCCACAUUGGGACUGAGACACGGCCCAA